rnacentral:rRNA from 1 species
GACGAACGCUGGCGGCGUGCUUAACACAUGCAAGUCGAACGAAGUGGCGAACGGGUGAGUAACGCGUAAUCAACCUGCCCUUCAGAGGGGGACAACAGUUGGAAACGACUGAUAAUACCACAUACUGAAGGAGGGGAUUACGUCUGAUUAGCUAGUUGGAGGGGUAACGGCCAACCAAGUCGAUGCUCAGUAGCCGGUCUGAGAGGUUGAACGGCCACAUUGGGACUGAUACACGGCCCAGACGCCUACGGGAGGCAGAAGUGGUGAAUCUUCCGCAAUGGACGAAAGUCUGACGGAGCAACGCCGCGUGAGUGAUGACGGCCUUCGGGUUGUAAAGCUCUGUUAAUCGGGACGCGGUACCGGAAUAGAAAGCCACGGCUAACUACGUGCCAGCAGCCGCGGUAAUUC